UACGUAGGGUGCAAGCGUUAAUCGGAAUUACUGGGCGUAAAGCGCACGUAGGCGGCUUUGUAAGUUAGAGGUGAAAGCCCGGGGCUCAACUCCGGAAUUGCCUUUAAGACUGCAUCGCUAGAAUUGUGGAGAGGUAAGUGGAAUUCCGAGUGUAGAGGUGAAAUUCGUAGAUAUUCGGAAGAACACCAGUGGCGAAGGCGACUUACUGGACACAUAUUGACGCUGAGGUGCGAAAGCGUGGGGAGCAAACCGG
rnacentral:rRNA from 1 species